rnacentral:rRNA from 1 species
UACGUAGGGUGCAAGCGUUGUCCGGAAUUAUUGGGCGUAAAGAGCUCGUAGGCGGUUUGUUGCGUCGGCUGUGAAAUCCCGAGGCUCAACCUCGGGUCUGCAGUCGAUACGAGCAAACUAGAGUGUUGCAGGGGAGACUGGAAUUCCUGGUGUAGCGGUGAAAUGACGCAGAUAUCCUAAGGAACACCCGUGGCGAAAGCGGCUCACUGGGUCUCUUCUGACGCUGAGGCACGGAAAAGCUAGGGUAGCGAAC